AUUCCAUGGUGAGGGCAUUCUGAUAUGUAGUCUUGAAAGCAUUCCCAUGCCUCAGGGACAGAUACAUCAUAUUGUUACUGCAAAGUUGAGAUCUUUGCACGUUGGGCAU
rnacentral:snoRNA from 1 species